rnacentral:snRNA from 1 species
GGGCUCACUUCGGCAGCACAUAUACUAAAACUGGGACGAUACAGAGAAGAUUAGCGUGGCCCCUGCGCAAGGAUGACACACAAAUUCGUGAAGCGUUCCAUGUUUUU